UAUUCAUUAGUGUAAGAUGCACGUCAAGUUUUGAGUUUGAAGGUUGAAGUUUGAUUCUUCAUUGUAUAG
rnacentral:tRNA from 1 species